CAAAUGCCUAUGGUGAUCUCUUCAUUACAGUUUAUAGCGCAUGGUUGUCCUAUGUUCAUAUAUCACAUAUAUACAUAUGUAUUUUUUAUAAAUAGACACUUCAGGA
rnacentral:ribozyme from 14 species